GGUCCUGUGGCGCAGUGGUUAGCGUGGUAGUCUCUCACCCCAGUAUGGCCUGGGUUCAAUCCCAGACGGACCC
rnacentral:tRNA from 1 species